rnacentral:rRNA from 1 species
UACGUAGGGGGCUAGCGUUGUCCGGAUUUAUUGGGCGUAAAGAGCGUGUAGGCGGCCAGGCAGGUCUGCUGUGAAAACUCGAGGCUCAACCCCGAGCUGUCGGCGGAAACCAUCUGGCUAGAGUCCGGAAGAGGCGAGUGGAAUUCCUGGUGUAGCGGUGGAAUGCGCAGAUAUCAGGAGGAACACCAAUAGCGAAGGCAGCUCGCUGGGACGGUAUUGACGCUAAGGCGCGAAAGCGCGGGGAGCAAACAGG